GCCAAAAAAGAACCUCACAACCUACUACUGAAACAAGUCGCACUGCGGAUCUCAGGUUUUGGAGAUGAACCACCAGGCAGACAUUUUGGGGAAACCAAAGAACAGAGACGGGUCAGGAUACAACUUUCAGCCUAGGAGUCACAUUAUUCGGCAUGAGAGAGUAUAGACACAACCAUCAGUAACCAGGGACAGAUGUGGGUUAACCUCAGGAUGUUCAGAAAAAUCAAAGAUGGAGAAGGAUGCAGCAACGUUUGGACUUUCUACCUUCUGAGGCAUCCUCAUCCAGCUGCCAGUUCUCAGGAGCAAGUGACAGCAGGAAUGCCUAUAACCUGGAUAAGUGCUACCAGCCAGGCCAGCCUCAGGCACUGCAUCUGAACUUGGCCUCAACAAGGAGGCUAAAGGGAAGGAAUCUGAUCACAGUGGCAGCAUCUGGACUCUGUACCUGCUUGCCUCAUCCCUGGAGCUACUCAUUAAAGUGCUACUCCAGCUCCCAGAGGCUAUGGAACAUAAAAGUUCCACCUACGGUGCCUGCCUCUCCUGCCUCCCCUUCUAUCUCCUCCACGUCUUCCAUCUGUGCACACCUGAGAGAGUAAGACCAACCUCUCCUCUUUCUCCUCGUCCUCAGCCUACUCAGUGUGAAGAUGAGGAUGAUAAGCUUGAUCAUGAUCCACUUCCAUUUAACGAAUAGCACUUCAAGGAGAGAAUAUCUUCCUCAAUUCUCAAACAACACACGUUUUUUAAAAGUACUGUUACAUAUACAGAAAAUAUCUCAAGAAUUUCAAAACAAUACUUAUUUCCUCUUAUAUCUUCACCUUCAGAGUGUGUCCUAGGAAGAAACGCUCAACACGUGUUUUUGCUUUAUUUCCAUGGCUUGUGUAAGUAUUCCAAGUCACAAUGUAUAUUUAACAAACUGGUCUUCCAGCUCCCUUCACAGAAUGGUUGCUUUCUUCUGCAGAGGUUCAACCAUUUAGUACCAUUCAAGCACAUUCUCCACGCCAUACAAAUGCCAUCCCAGGAAGAUGUUUAAGAUUUCUCCAUGAAGUGGGAACUUGGAAGUUUAGAAUUGUUCCAGUUACCAACCAGGUUUUAGAGACCAAGAAAUCUCAAACUUGAGAAUUCAAUGCAGCUAUCACUUUUCCAAAAGCAUAACAAAUUUAGCUUUCAUUUGCUUGCUUCGGAGACUCCCCCAAUAGUGCAGCCUCGUCCAUGAUCAAUGGCAGAACAUGAGGAGAACGACUAGAUCCCAUUGCUUUGUGGGAUUAAGACUUUGCAAUUCUUCUGUUACAUAGGAAUCAAUGAAACCAACCCCAACGUACAAUGAUGACCAAAGACACUCCCAUGCCAAAAGGGGAACCAAGCAAUAGUUUCUUCCUCAGUAAUACAAGUCAUCCGGCAAUCCUUGUUUAAAAUCCCUGUCUGUACAACUGGAGAUGGAUGCCAGAAGCUAGAAAUGGCUGAACCACUUCUGGUGGAAAUUUCAGCACUCAAGUUGCAGGCCUGCCUCUGUCACUGAAUUCUACCAGAUUUGAAGCUUCCACGGGUCAGGGCUAUGUGUAUGCCUGGCUCAGAACCUGCUACAGAACCUGGUGCAGAAGGAACUAUACUAAUGCUUAUUGGAAUGAACUGAGCUGAUGGUCUAACAACAACAACAUGUCCCUAGGGCACUGAAUUCUGAAAUCCUCAAACCCCCAUUAAAGGUAUCUGUGGAAACUGUAAGGGAACUGCAUAUGCAAAAGGGACCUCUCCACACAAGGUCUGUGGCAUCAAAACUGCAGUCAAAAUCCAGAAUCUGAUGGCACACAGCAGUAGCAGCAGUAAACACGGCUGAGCCUGGAUGGAUGCCAUCAUCUCAUUCCCAUGGAAUCUGAUUAUUACAUUUUUGUUUUGAGCCCCAAGUUUCAGGGUAUGAAAGUAUUACCAUACUAUUUCUUAAGAUAUUUACAAAGAGCUAAGGAAUUUUUCCUGUUUCCGUGAAUUUUAUUAUAAUGCUGACAUUUAUAUUGAAAUCACAGGAGGACAAGAAGUACUUUUGAAAAAUUAUUUUCACCAGACUCUUUAUUGUAUUUCCCAAAAUGGCCAGCAUUGAGUAAUGGGUUGUAUCGUAAUGUGUGUGUGGCUGGAUACCAGAUACCAAGGUCCUCAAAAACCCUACAGCAUUUUCUCUCUUCAUGAAAUAAAAUGGGACAUAACAUACGGUUGAGCAAAACAUAAACUACAAAAACCAUUAAUAUGGUAACUAAAUUGAAUGUAAGCCUGAAAUUUAUUACCUGAGUGAGUUUGUGGGGUGAUACCACCACAAUCUUGUUUCAAGGGUAAACAAGAUCAACUUAGAUGGUCCUUUAGAAUGACAGCCAUUGGAUAGGGCUGCAGAUGCCUUUAUUGGGGUAUCUUAAGUAUUGCAUAAAUUCUAAUGGAUGUAUCAGCUUUUUCUUCAGGCCGUGCCAGCCUGUGUGCCCAAAAAAAUAAAUAAAUAAAGUAAAGAUAAAAGUAAAACCAGUCAUUCCAUAGCUCAUCCCUCACCAGCUACUAGAAUGCUAUCUCUGGUGAGUCCUCCUUUAGAUUGAAGGGCUGGACAUGGAGGGUGGGAAGGCGACAACUUAAGAGUGUAUGGUCCCUGAUGUGUCAUGUCACCUCUGGUACCAUCUGAUACCACAGUCACACCAAGAAGGUGUCUAACUGCUCCCAAGUAAAAGCUGAGUACCCAGUGCAACUUGACAAAAGAUGCUUUCCUCCAGCAUCCUUCCAAACCUGUGACUAUACAGCAGCUCUGCAGAGCCACCGUGGCUGACUUUUUAAAACCUAGGUGGUAGAUUAUUCCUGCAUUGCAUCCAAGUUUUUCAUGUGCCUGCUUUACUCCCUCCAGCAGCCUCCUCCCACACUGACUCUGAGAGUGGUCAUGUGACUUCCUUUGGCCAUGGAAACAACAGCAGACAUUCAAAAUGUGGAAACGUUAAAAGUACUUGCACACUGGGGUUUGUUCUCUCUCUUCUAGUUCUUGGAACUCUUCUCCCACCACAAGAAUAAACCCAGAUUAGCACCCUAGAAAAUGAAAGACCAAAUGAAUCAUCCCCGCAGAACAUCCCAUCAGACCAACAAGCCCCAGCAGAUCUGGCAGCUGACUUUAUACAUAACCCAGCCAGGAUCAAAAGAAGAAUCACAGAGCUGAGCCCAGCCCGUUCUGCCAAUUUACAGAAUCAUGAGCUAAAUAAAUGGUUGAGGGUUUAAGUCACUGGAUAUCAGGGUAGACUGUUAAAGCUAACUUAUAUAGCCUUUUACAAAGAUGUAAAAAAAUAAAAUACAUUCAUGGAAUGGGUGGUAAAAGAGUUAAGAGUAUGCAGAAAGCAAAACCCUAGACUUCAUACAAGAGACUAUGAACCCUUCAAGAGGCAUAAGACCUAAUACUUGGUUAUCAUCUCCUUGGUAUAAUUUCAUGAGGUUGUUAUAAAGCCCAUUUGUUACAAAUAUCUCUCUCUCCAGUGAACCUCCUGUCUACAUGAAAACUUGCUGAAAUUCCCAAGUAGUGUCCUGUAAAGGGGACAGGGCCAUGUAAUAGUUAAGAGCUCUGGAAUCAGACACUAAAAUCAACACUAUAUUCCUCUUCAGUUUCAUCCUUUGCGAAUCAGGGAGAUAAGAGCACCUGCUUCAUAGAGCUGUUGUUGUAAAGAUUAAAUAAUGCCUAUUCAGUGUUUGGUGCAAUGCCCAACACAUAUCAGUGCUCAAAAAAUUAGCUUGUCUUAUUAGGUUGAGAGUCAAUCCAAAUAAUUAGCAACCAUCUAUUACUUAUCACAGGAUAGGCAUUACCCUUAAUGCCUCUAUGUACACUACCCCAUUUAAUCUUCUUAAUAUCAUUGUGAAGUGGCUAUUAUGCUCCCAUCUUAGAGAUGAGGAAACCCAGGCACAGAGGGAUUAAGUAGCUUGCCUGGUGUUGCACAACUGGGAGGUGGCAGCCACUGACCCCAAUCCUCAUGCUGUCUCCCAGCCCAUCUUCGCUUCAUAGUUAAGAGCUAAGUUCUAGUCUGUGUGCACUGGGAAUUCAAGUCUCACUCUUUGAGACAGCAAUUACAAAGCCUUUCCAAAAUAUGGUUCCACACUGCGUUUUUAUCAUUUUAAUAGGCCUUCAGUACUUUGUACUGGGCACUGCCUGGAAUAUUUUCCCCACAAUCCUCUCCCACCUCUUAUUUAAAAUAAUUCUUAUCAUUUUAGGUGUAGUUCCAAAACAACAUUCUGGUAAAAUGUUCUUAGAUUUUCCUAGUGGAUAAAGGUGUGAGCCCUGGAGUCAGACUAGCUCUUCUGGAAUCCCAGCUUCUACUACUGCCAGCUACUAAUUGUGUGAAUCUGGGCAAGACACAACUUCUCUACAUCUUGGUUUCCUCAUCUUCAAAAUGUAAGAAAUGAUGCCAUUUCACAGAUAUGGAUGGAUAAAUAGAUGGAUAGAUAGACAGGCAGCUAGCCAAGCACAGUGAUUGCCUUAAUCCAACCAUGAGUUCUUACUCUAGGCAUUUAAGCUCCCUGAUGGAAAUUCAGUUUGUUCAGUCAUAGUUCAAACUUUAAUGUGUUGGACCACAUUGAUAAUUUUCAAUGACUGUUGUUCAGUGUUUUACAAUGACUCUCUUUUUUCAAAUAAAUUCAUACGUGGAUACUAAAACAUGAAACAGAUUACCUGCAGAGUGGCUGUGGUUGAAAAGGGCUGUGAAAGGCAGAUCUUAGCCUCCUUCCCCCAAGACUUCUCGGGCACCUCUGAGAACACCUGGAGAACACUUUGAGCCCCCAGCUGGACAUGCCCUCUUGUACUUCAGACUUCUCCUUAGAGAGGAGCCAGAUUCCUGACUUCCCAUCCCCCAGGUGAAUCUUACUCCCAAAACUAACCUGUAAAACAUGAAGAAAGAUAUUUCUGAAGGGCAAAAUCAGUCCUCAAAUCCCCAGAAAAUUCUGCAGGGAAAAAGGAUGAGUAAUGUUCAAUCGACAGCCCUAACAUAGAAUGAUUCUGGUGGUGUAACUGUGGCUUUAUGAAUUCAGCCCUCUUGAAUUGUUCUCUCAAUUGUAAGACGUGGAGACAUUUGGUUCCUGUUAGCUAACCAUGAGCCUAAAAUCUUGCAGCUGCCAACUAGUUUUAGGUAUCAGUAAGAAUUGACAAAGAUUUGUAGUAAUGAGGAUAUAGGAGCUACCUGAAAAUUUCAAAAAUCUCAAAUGUCAAUGUUCAGUCUGGGACACCAAAAUCCUUCGCAACUGAUAGGAAUGACAUCAGUGGAAGAACUUAAGCUCAUCAGAACUCUAAUUGGCAGAUGUAUAUGUCUUUGUUGAAUAAACAAAUUAUUCCUUCAUAAAAUCAAGUUGUUUCAUACAUCAAACCUCUUUAAACAUAGCAUCUGUUGAGAAAUCACAAUAGAAAAUGUUUAUCAAGUGCUCACUUUGUACCAGGUGAUUUCUAUUCCUACCUCAUCAAGCCUGCGAAGCAAGCAUUAAUGUCUUUGCAAAUGAAGAAACCAAGUCAGGAAGGCUAAAUUGUUUUUGUAUGGUCCUACAGCAAGCAAAUAAUGGCACAAGACUUAAAACUGUUGCCUCUUUCAUUCUUCACAUUUCACACCUUACUCUGCACUGGAACGCUUCUCUGCUGAUGAAAAGACUGCUGUCUAAUUCCCCAGCCUCCAAGAGUGACCAUUGAAUGAAUUCUUUAAUAAUAUGACUUCUUUCAGGGUAUUUCUUGCAAUGCAUAGAAAUCACCCGGACAGGUGUUAAAAUGCAGAUAAAGCCAUGAGAUUCUGAUUCAGUGGGGCCUGGAGUGAGGCCUGGGAAUGCCCAUUGGAACUAGCA